UACGUAGGGCGCAAGCGUUAUCCGGAAUUAUUGGGCGUAAAGAGCUCGUAGGCGGUUUGUCGCGUCUGCCGUGAAAGUCCGGGGCUCAACUCCGGAUCUGCGGUGGGUACGGGCAGACUAGAGUGAUGUAGGGGAGACUGGAAUUCCUGGUGUAGCGGUGAAAUGCGCAGAUAUCAGGAGGAACACCAGCGGCGAAGGCGGCGCUCUGGGCCGGAACUGACGCUGAGGAGCGAAAGCGUGGGUAGCAAACAGG
rnacentral:rRNA from 1 species